AACGAACGCUGGCGGCAGGCCUAACACAUGCAAGUCGAGCGAGGACUUCGGUCCUAGCGGCGGACGGGUGAGUAACGCGUGGGAACGUGCCCUUUGCUUCGGAAUAGCCCUGGGAAACUGGGAGUAAUACCGGAUGAGCCCUUUGGGGGAAAGAUUUAUCGGCGAAGGAUCGGCCCGCGUUGGAUUAGGUAGUUGGUGGGGUAAUGGCCUACUAAGCCGACGAUCCAUAGCUGGUUUGAGAGGAUGAUCAGCCACACUGGGACUGAGACACGGCCCAGACUCCUACGGGAGGCAGCAGUGGGGAAUCUUAGACAAUGGGGGAAACCCUGAUCUAGCCAUGCCGCGUGAGCGAUGAAGGCCUUAGGGUUGUAAAGCUCUUUCAGCUGGGAAGAUAAUGACGGUACCAGCAAAAGAAGCCCCGGCUAACUCCGUG
rnacentral:rRNA from 1 species